UACGGGGGGGGUAAGCGUUUGUUCGGAAUUACUGGGCGUAAAGGGCUCGUAGGCGGCCAAACUAAGUCAGACGUGAAAUCCCUCGGCUUAACCGGGGAACUGCGUCUGAUACUGGAUGGCUUGAAUCCGGGAGAGGGAUGCGGGAAUUCCAGGUGUAGCGGAUGAAAUGCGUAGAUAUCUGGAGGAACACCGGUGGCGAAG
rnacentral:rRNA from 1 species